AAGCCGUAGAAAGGCGGCUA
rnacentral:snRNA from 1 species